UCCCUGGUGGCUCAGCAGGUUAAGGACCUGGCAUUCUCACUGCUGUGGUGCAGGUUCAAUUCCUGAUUCUGGGAA
rnacentral:tRNA from 1 species